rnacentral:tRNA from 1 species
GGGCAUGUAGUGUAGGGGUUAUCGCGCCUCAUUUGCACUUACGUACUGUGCUUACGUAAUCUGCGUUGAGGAGGUCUCCGGUUCAAUUCCGGACUUGUCCA